rnacentral:rRNA from 1 species
AUGAAGGGGACGGUCAAGUGGUUCAACGACACCAAGGGGUUCGGCUUCAUCUCCCCCGACGACGGCAGCGAGGACCUCUUCGUCCACCAGUCCUCCAUCAAGGCCGACGGCUUCCGCUCGCUGGCCGAGGGCGAGGUCGUCGAGUUCGCCGUCUCGGAGGGCGACGACGGCCGCACCAAGGCCGUCGACGUCACCGGCCCCGACGGAUCCUUCGUGCAGGGCGGCGCGGGCGGUGGCGGUGGCGGGGGCGGCUUCGGAUCCCGUGGCGGUGGCGGAUCUCGCGGCGGCGGGGGCUUCGGCGGCCGCGGCGGGGACGGAUCUGGCGGCUACGGAGGUGGGUACGGUGGUGGCGGUGGCGGAGGCUGGGGCGGCCAGAGGAGAUCCGGCGGUGGAGGCGCCGGCGGCGGAGGAGGCGGCGGCUACGGCGGCGGCGGCGGCGGCAACUGCUACAACUGCGGCGAGCCGGGCCACAUCGCGAGGGACUGCCCCACCAGCAGCGGCUUUGGCGGAGGAGGCGGCGGCGGCGGCGACCGCUCCUGCUACAACUGCGGCGAGCCCGGCCACAUCUCCCGCGACUGCACCAAGUGAGGGGAUAUCUCUGCCCCUCCCCCUCUAUAGAUUGCGCCUAAAUACCUCUCGUCUUAGUUUUGCCGAUCGAUCGAUCUGGGUCUGAGCGCUCAGCCGCAGCCGCCUCGCUUAUUUUAUCUUCCUCCCCCCUUCCGUUCUCGGAAUCCGUCCUAGGGGAAACUCGUCCGCAAGUCAGUAAGUCAGUCAGUCAGUCCGUGUGAUGGUUAAUUUUGCUAUGAAUUGGUCUCUGGUACCCGUACCGUACUCUCAGUUGAUGUUUAAGGUCGUGAUGAUGAUGGAUUAUUGGUGAUUUUUGUGUGGUGAUGAUGAGGAGAUUGCAACAGAUCUCUGUUUUUUGGUUUCAUCGAAAAGUAAAAUGAUGCUGGUUGUUAUCAUCCUCUAUCCAUGAACGAUUGAAUUCUCUGUCAGAUUAGAUCUCUCCUGCAGUGGCAGGACUAUUAUCUCUCCCUGUCAUCCUGUUAUUAAUUGAUUAUGAUGAAGUACAGUUUGGAAGAUGAUUAACUAGUGAUUGUACUUUCAUCUUCUGAGGUUUUUGCGUGGGGAAAGUGAGGUUUUGUCUGGGUCGCGUAGUGGAGCGGAAAGUUUAUACUGGAUUUGCGAUCUACCCUUUUAAUCCGGGGGAAGCGUCAAUAUGGGGUAAGCAAUGGUGUCAGUUCCCCAACCAUGGGGUGUCAUGCCCUGUCUGGUGCUGUUUUGGAUCCACUUUCCUGUCAGUGUCUAGUGGUUGCGUUGUCUUUAAGCUAUCACUGUGUCUGGCUCUGCUCAUGAUUUUUUUGGCCCGUGCUGG